GUUUCUCGAGGCCAUUCGAGUUUUUGAGGCUAGGGUCAGAAGGUUUAGGUUUUUUGGAUAUGGUUUUGGUGCAAAAUUUGUGUCAUUUGGGGUUUAUAUGAAGAAGUUAUAGGCGCUCAAAGUUAAGGUGUAAGUUUUCGACGUACUGUCACGCUUUUGAGCAUACCGCACGGUUACGGACAGCAAACGAGGAUCGGCGACCGGAUUUGAAGAGAGCACUUUUUCGGCUACAGUUUGUGCAUACUGUUUAUCGAAUUCCAAGCAUUUAUGAAGGAGAUAUUGGCAGUUGAAGUCAGCGCUUGAUAUCUAAGGGUAGUAAGUAGCCCGAAUUACUUGUGCUUGUGAUUUGAGCUAUAUCUUAGACAAUUUGAUGAGGUUUUAGUUCAAAAUUUCCAAGAUUGUGUGUAAUCUUGUUAUAAAGCUUUUUAUAUAAGUUUUGUGUGAUUUGGAGCUUGGGUUUAAGAGAUAUAAGAAAAAUAGUUUUCGGGUGCUUGUAAGUUAGGGUUUUGUGCACCUGCUAGGGUUUCUAAGAUGCCGAACGAUCGGUGAUGGAUGUACGGUUCAAUUUUUUUGUGGUACAAGUAAAGUAUAGCAUCUAGCUUAGGUAGAAAUUUGAAACAAAGUGAACGGUUGGAUCAACAUAUAUGAAUUUCCAAACUCUGAUGUAAAAAGGUCCUUGGCGGGAAGAAAUAUAUUUUGAAGAAUUUUAAGAUAUUUUGAAUUUUUAUACAAAGCAAGGAGUUUGUUUCUGGGAGCUAAGGCAUUAUAUAAAAAAGAAACCUAAACUCUCUACAGCUAGAUACCCAGUGUAUUCCCAGAUAGAAAAUCACGCCAUACGACAACGAGUGGUAGAAUAUAUAGAAAAUUAUGAUCCACAGGAUGAUUCGAGUGUGCUAAGAGUAGUACUGAUUCGAAUAGAUGAGAAUAUCUUACACAAGAUCUUACAUUUACUAACCAAAGAGCUUGAGGUGGG
rnacentral:lncRNA from 1 species